rnacentral:rRNA from 1 species
UGAGGAAUAUUGGUCAAUGGGGAAACCCUGACCCAGCAACGCCGCGUGAAGGAUGAAGUAUUUCGGUAUGUAAACUUCGAAAGAAUGGGAAGAAUAAAUGACGGUACCAUUUAUAAGCUCCGGCUAACUACGUG